rnacentral:rRNA from 1 species
GUGCCAGCCGCCGCGGUAAUACAGAGGGGGCGAGCGUUAUUCGGAAUUAUUGGGCGUAAAGGGCGCGUAGGCGGCUGGGCAAGUCCAAGGUGAAAUCCCUCGGCUCAACCGAGGAACUGCCUUGGAAACUGCCCGGCUUGAGGCCGGGAGAGGGUAGUGGAAUUCCCAGUGUAGCGGUGAAAUGCGUAGAUAUUGGGAGGAACACCGGUGGCGAAGGCGGCUACCUGGACCGGUUCUGACGCUGAUGCGCGAAAGCGUGGGGAGCAAACAGGAUUAGAAACCCGCGUAGUCC